rnacentral:rRNA from 1 species
UACGGAGGGGGCGAGCGUUAUUCGGAAUUAUUGGGCGUAAAGGGCGCGUAGGCGGCCCGGUAAGUCAAAGGUGAAAUCCCUCGGCUCAACUGAGGAACUGCCUUUGAAACUGUCGGGCUUGAGGCCGGGAGGGGGUAGCGGAAUUCCCAGUGUAGCGGUGAAAUGCGCAGAUAUCAGGAGGAACACCGGUGGCGAAGGCGGGUCUCUGGGCCGAUACUGACGCUGAGGAGCGAAAGCGUGGGGAGCGAACAGG